GUUGUUGCACGGUUUUCACGGCUCGCUGCCCGGAUACGCUAAAACGCUGUCCGUGCCUGAGCUAGAAGCCAGCACAACUCAUACGAGAACCAUCAGUGACGUUGUACGUGACUAACCUGUGCUGAAGAGGAAUAAAAGUCGCAAGUGAGAUCCCUUUGUUGUGCGAAUCUGUUCACCCACGCCGCGCACAUCCGCCAUCACGGAAGGCGGCAGCACGACUGUCAUUACCCGAUCGUGACGGGUGCAUCGAUUGUGACGGUUUGCUACUGCGCACGCGCAGAUCAACGCCAUUUUCUCCCGAGGGAUGACGGGAGAUAUAGAUUUAUGCGUUAGGCUCGGACAUUGAGGGUUUUUUAUGCGUGUGUGUACGCCGCUAUCUUCGAGUAGCAUGAAAUGCUUGAAAAUGUCUUAAUAGAUACUUCGAGUGAUCCGAGAAGAUGAAUGUGGAUACCUAGCAUCUUCCAAGGUACCUGGUCGACGGAACGCUUCCAACUACUCAAGUGGGCGCCGUAAGAUUCGACGAAUGGUGCGUGAUUUCAUUGUUAAAGAUAAAAGACCCCCCCAAUGAAAUAUAUGCGCCUGGUCAUCAAGUCAAAGGGGAAGCAGACUAUCCUCAUGGAGUGUCAAAAUAACUCUGGGAACUAGAGCGGCGUCGAGGCCAUUUCUAGCUUCUAUUGGCCAACAAUGAUUCAGGACAUCAAUGAAUGGGCAUGGGCACAGAUUUGCCUUCUGGACAGAGAAAGCGUCCCCUCUUCUUCAGGGAUCUCUACAGCCUGUCUUCAGGGUUCCAAAGGCAACCCCCUCUAUAUCUUACUAAACUUCAAUCAGACAGUUGCCAGAAGUAUUGACUGCCAACAUACAUGAAAAAGUUGUCCUUCGGGAAGGUGACCGUGCUAUAUGCACAUUGGCGCUUGUGUGGUCCAGAAUCAGAGACCUUGGUUCUCCAGACUCCUUCAGAAGACGGCCACAUUUUAAAUGGCUUAACAGUGUCUGGACAUGGAGCAGGUUCUGUGCAGAAUUCAGGAGAGAGUAUUACAACAUGUACACCAUUGAGAUCUGCCAUGGGUAUGGGGAGCAGUUCAAACAAUCCCCACGAGGAUUUGUUGGAGAGGAGAAAAGGGGUAAAGUAACGGCGUUUUACUGCGAGGAGGAAACACCUACAGGAUACUGCAGUUGUUCCUGCUGUCCAAUGCAUUAAACUGUAAUGUUUUUGUUUGAGUUUGUUCUACACAUGCACAUUAAAACUGUUUCAGCUUAA